rnacentral:rRNA from 1 species
UACGGGGGGGGCAAGCGUUGUUCGGAAUUACUGGGCUUAAAGGGUGCGUAGGCUGUGCGGAAAGUUGGGCGUGAAAUACCUCAGCUUAACUGAGGAACUGCGUUCAAAACUACCGUGCUUGAGGGAGACAGAGGUAAGCGGAACUGAGGGUGGAGCGGUGAAAUGCGUUGAGAUCGGAAGGAACGCCCGUGGCGAAAGCGAGCCCCUGGACGUCUACUGACGCUGAGACGCGAAAGCCAGGGGAGCGAACGGG